rnacentral:lncRNA from 1 species
GAUCUUUAUUUCUGUCAUUUUCUCAGUGGUCACAGGGUCUAUGCUGCUUAAUCUUUUUUAUUUCCACGUGGAUUAAUGAGGGCUGUGUGGCUCUGUCUUUGUCCCCUGAUGAGUCCCAGGGACAAGCAUCUGUGGGAUUCAACAUUGCUUCUCAGAGCAAGAUUUUCACCGUGUAGAUAAAUGCCGCAGUGGAGGGGGCUCAUAAACGAGCUCUCGAGGCAGUUUUGUUAGGCUCCAAAAAAGGCUUUCACGAGGUCAAUGCCGGUGGCAUAAGUACCUGCUGGGCUUCCCAGGACAGCAGCUGACAGCACAGGCUUGGCAGACACCCCUGAGAGAGUCUUCGGCACAUAUGAUGUCCUCUAUUGAUGUUUGCUGAAUAGAUGAGGAUGCCAAAAGAGGGAGGAGAUACCAAAAGAGGGAAAGAAGGACACCCAGAAGACAAAUGGUGCUCACCUUGAGCCUCGAGGUCUUUAGGAAAACGGUGACUCUGGAGCACAGCCCUGGAUCCCUGAUGGCAGGUGGAUGAAUCUGCUCCCCACCUGGAUGCUGCUAGUCCUUUCUCCAGGCUCCGUGACUGAAAAUGUGCUUUACUUGGCAAAAGCUGUUUCUCCUCAGAACUCUAGAAAUCAGAUCUUGGCCCACCUCU